GUGAGGAAUAUUGGUCAAUGGGCGCAAGCCUGAACCAGCCAUCCCGCGUGCAGGAAGAAGGCGCUAUGCGUUGUAAACUGCUUUUGCAGGGGAAGAAAAUACCGGUCGUGACCGGGACUGACAGUACCCUGUGAAUAAGCAUCGGCUAACUCCGUGCCAGCAGCCGCGGUAAUACGGAGGAUGCAAGCGUUAUCCGGAUUCAUUGGGUUUAAAGGGUGCGCAGGCGGACUGAUAAGUCAGUGGUGAAAUUUUGCAGCUUAACUGUAAACGUGCCAUUGAUACUGUCAGUCUUGAGUUUGGUCAAGGUAGGCGGAAUGUGUAAUGUAGCGGUGAAAUGCUUAGAUAUUACACAGAACACCGAUUGCGAAGGCAGCUUACUGGGCCACGACUGACGCUCAUGCACGAAAGCGUGGGGAGCAAACAGGAUUAGAAACCCGAGUAGUCC
rnacentral:rRNA from 1 species